rnacentral:rRNA from 1 species
ACCAACAGGGAUUGCCCCAGUAACGGCGAGUGAAGCGGCAACAGCUCAAAUUUGAAAUCUGGCCCCCUCCGCGGGGCCCGAGUUGUAAUUUGCAGAGGAUGCUUUUGGCGCGGCGCCUUCCGAGUUCCCUGGAACGGGACGCCAUAGAGGGUGAGAGCCCCGUCUGGUCGGACGCCCAGCCUCUGUAAAGCUCCUUCGACGAGUCGAGUAGUUUGGGAAUGCUGCUCAAAAUGGGAGGUAUAUGUCUUCUAAAGCUAAAUAUUGGCCAGAGACCGAUAGCGCACAAGUAGAGUGAUCGAAAGAUGAAAAGCACUUUGAAAAGAGGGUUAAACAGUACGUGAAAUUGUUGAAAGGGAAGCGCUCGUGACCAGACUUGGGCGCGGCGAAUCAUCCGGCGUUCUCGCCGGUGCACUUCGCCGCGCCCGGGCCAGCAUCAGUUCGCCGCGGGGGACAAAGGCGCCGGGAACGUGGCUCCCCCGGGAGUGUUAUAGCCCGGCGCGCAAUGCCCCGCGGCGGACUGAGGUUCGCGCAUCCGCAAGGAUGCUGGCGUAAUGGUCACCAGUGACCCGUCUUGAAACACGGACCAAGGAGUCGUCCUCGUAUGCGAGUGUUCGGGUGUCAAACCCCUACGCGCAAUGAAAGUGAACGCAGGUGAGAGCCUCGGCGCAUCAUCGACCGAUCCUGAUGUUCUCGGAUGGAUUUGAGUAAGAGCAUACGGGGCCGGACCCGAAAGAAGGUGAACUAUGCCUGUGUAGGGUGAAGCCAGAGGAAACUCUGGUGGAGGCUCGCAGCGGUUCUGACGUGCAAAUCGAUCGUCAAACAUGGGCAUGGGGGCGAAAGACUAAUCGA